rnacentral:rRNA from 1 species
UACGUAGGGGGCAAGCGUUGUCCGGAAUCAUUGGGCGUAAAGAGCGUGUAGGCGGCUUGGCAAGUCUCGCGUGAAAUCCUGCGGCUCAACCGCAGGCGGUCGCGGGAAACUGCCUCGCUAGAGUCCGGAAGAGGAGAGUGGAAAUUCCUGGUGUAGCGGUGGAAUGCGCAGAUAUCAGGAAGAACACCCGUGGCGAAGGCGGCUCUCUGGGACGGUACUGACGCUGAGACGCGAAAGCGUGGGGAGCGAACAGG